UGAAAGUGUUGUCAAGCGGAUAGCCAGAAUGAUGUGCUUGCACGUCAGGCUGGAUAGACAUUUGACAACCAAGCCUACAUGAGUAAGUAGGGCGAUCGCCCGGAUUACGAAUGGAGGCGGCAACUGUGGGAGUGCCGUAGGCACGGAGCAGUUGGCUUUCG
rfam:Clostridiales sp. SS3/4 draft genome.